UAGGGAAUCUUCCACAAUGGACGCAAGUCUGAUGGAGCAACGGCCGCGUGAGUGAAGAAGGUUUUCGGACCGUAAAGCUCUGUUGUUGGUGAAGAAGGAUAGAGGUAGUAACUGGCCUUUAUUUGACGGUAAUCAACCAGAAAGUCACGGCUAACUACGUGCCAGCAGCCGCGGUAAUACGUAGGUGGCAAGCGUUGUCCGGAUUUAUUGGGCGUAAAGCGAGCGCAGGCGGAAGAAUAAGUCUGAUGUGAAAGCCCUCGGCUUAACCGAGGAAUUGCAUCGGAAACUGUUUUCUUGAGUGCAGAAGAGGAGAGUAGAACUCCAUGUGUAGCGGUGGAAUGCGUAGAUAUAUGGAAGAAUACCAGUGGCGAAGGCGGCUCUCUGGUCUGCAACUGACGCUGAGGCUCGAAAGCAUGGGUAGCGAACAGGAUUAGAUACCCUGGUAGUCCAUGCCGUAAACGAUGAGUGCUAAGUGUUGGGAGGCUUCCGCCUCUCAGUGCUGCAGCUAACGCAUUAAGCACUCCGCCUGGGGGAGUACGACCGCAAGGUUGAAACUCU
rnacentral:rRNA from 1 species